AGUGAACGCUGGCGGUAGGCCUAACACAUGCAAGUCGAACGGCAGCACAGUAAGAGCUUGCCCUUACGGGUGGCGAGUGGCGGACGGGUGAGGAAUACCUCGGAAUCUACUUUUUCGAGGGGGCCAACGUAGGGAAACUUACGGUAAUACCGCAUACGAUCUACGGGUGAAAGCAGGGGAUCUUCGGACCUUGCGCGUAUGAAUUAGCCGAUGUCGCAUUAGCUAGUUGGGAGGGUAAAGGCCAACCAAGGCGACGAUCCGUCGCUGGUCUGCGAGGUUGAACAGCCCCACUGGAACUCAGACACGGUCCCUACUCCUACGGGAGCCAGCAGUGGGGAUUAUUGGACAACGGGCGCAAGCCUGCUCCACCCAUACCGCGUGGGUGAGGAGGGCCUUCGGGUUGUAAAGCCCUUUUGUUGGGAAAGAAAAGCAGCAGAUUAAUACCCCGCUGUUCUGACGGUACCCAAAGAAUAAGCCUCGGCUAACUUCGUG
rnacentral:rRNA from 1 species